rnacentral:rRNA from 1 species
GGAGGGGGCAAGCGUUGUCCGGACUCACUGGGCGUAAAGCGCACGUAGGCGGUUGGGUGCGUCGCUGCUGAAAGCGCCAGGCUUAACUUGGCGAGGCGUGGCGAUACGACCUGACUCGAGGCAGGCAGAGGGUGGCGGAAUUCCGGGUGUAGUGGUGAAAUGCGUAGAGAUCCGGAGGAACGCCUGUGGCGCAAGCGGCCACCUGGGCCUGACCUGACGCUGAGGUGCGAAAGCGUGGGGAGCGAACCGGAUUAGAUACCCGGGUAGUCCACGCGGUAAACGAUGCCAGCUCGGUGUCUGGGGCCAUUUCGGCCCUGGGUGCCUCAGCUCACGCGGUAAGCUGGCCGCCUGGGGACUACGAGCGCAAGCUUAAA